UGACGUCACGGAUGGAUGCAAAGAUGCCGAUGGCAAUGGAAGGUUCUUCCUCUUCUUCUUCCUCUUCUUCCUUACUGCCACUGUUAAACCGUCCCACUGCAUCGGCUUUCGCAUCAUCUACGGUCAUCCUCAUCAGCUUCUCUCCUUCGAGCUGUUCGGAGCAAUGUCGGGUCCUCAGUGCUGCGAGAACCCUCCGACCCUCAACCCGAGCUGCGGGUCGGGACGCUUGGAGAAGAUCGCCGGCCUCAAUGCUUACGUCACCGGGCUGCCUGAAUCCAAGCUUACAGUUCUUCUCGUCCCUGAUGUGUUCGGAUAUGAAGCUCCAAAUUUGAGGAAGCUUGCGGACAAGGUUGCAGCAGCUGGGUUCUAUGUGGUUGUGCCUGACUAUUUUUAUGGUGAUCCUUAUAACCCUGAAAAUGCCGAGAGGCCCAUUGCAGUUUGGUUAAAAGAUCAUGGACAUCAUAAGGGAUUUGAAGAUACAAAACCGAUCAUCGAAGCCCUGAAAAGCCAGGGUUUAUCGCCAAUUGGUGCUGCUGGUUUUUGCUGGGGCGCUAAGGUUGUGGUUGAGCUAGCAAAGUGUGGACUCAUCCAAGCUGCUGUGCUAUUGCAUCCUUCAUUUGUCACUCUUGACGAUAUCAAGGAGGUUAAGGUUCCAAUUUCUGUGCUGGGAGCUGAGAUAGAUCGCAUGUCUCCACCAGAACUCUUGAAACAGUUUGAGGAGGCUCUUGCAGCUAAACCCGAGGUUGAUUCGUUCGUGAAGAUUUUCCCAAAAGUUUCACAUGGAUGGACAGUGAGGUACAAUGCAGGAGACGCAGAGGCAGUGAAGUGUGCCGAGGAGGCCCACCUGGAUAUGACUGAGUGGUUCGUGAAAUAUCUCAAGUAAGAAAAACAAAAAUAUUACCAGUCCUAGAAUUAUUUGGAUGGGCAAUUUGGUACUGAACAAUUGUGGUGUGGUUUGCCAUAGGAGUGUGCACGAUUACCAGGUAUACCCGGAACCGGUUAGAACCUACCCGUUAGGGUAGGGUCCGGGUAGCUCGUAUUGAAAAUAGCGUAGGGUCCGGGUAUUAAAAUAAGGAACAAGUAAAAAUUGGUUUCGGUUCCGAUUCUUGCAUAUACCCAGAACCGGAACCGGUACUCAGACUUUACCCCCUUCCCCUCUCUCUCUCGGUGGUAGCUUCGCAUUCCUUAUCGUCGGCAGCCUUGGUUCGGUGAUGCGUUGAAUUAGCAAGUUCAAUCCCCACUUCCUCCUCCUCCUGCUUCUGCAACUUUCAACUGUGUGCAACUUCUUCGUCUCCAUCUCCGAUCAAAUUCUAGGCCUCCUUUGUCCGCUAGAAAUUGCUUCGGCAGCAUGAUAUGAUAUUCAAGUCUUCCGAUCGAUUAUGGAUUUAAGUAGGGUCUCUGCAAAAUUUUCCGUGCUGGGAACUUCUUGUCAUACGACCAACAGUGAAAUCUAGAGCUCUUUCCUUUAAUUGUUGACCACUGGUGUUGUAAACUGCAGUAGGUCUGUAUCUUGAUAUAGCCUGAAUGAGGCCUGAUCGGUUCUAUUUGUCAACGGCCUCGAUGUGUCCCCUUGGUGGACUUGAUCGGAUCUCGGGCUUUAUCUGAUUCUAUCUUGAGUUUCACAAUCUUUGUUGUAGAUGUAUAGUGGAUUAAUCUAAAUCUAUGUCUGACAUUCUGUUUUGUGUAAUUAUUAGUUAUAGAUGAGACAUUUUUUUAUUUUA